rnacentral:pre_miRNA from 1 species
AUAGUACUCCCUCCGUCCCAAAAUUCUUGUCUUAGAUUUGUCUAGAUACGGAUGUAUCUAAUACUAAAAUGUGACUUGAUACAUCCGUAUUUAGACAAAUCUAAGACAAGAAUUUUGGGACGGAGGGAGUACAAU